rnacentral:rRNA from 1 species
UACGAGGGGGGCGAGCGUUGUUCGGAAUUAUUGGGCGUAAAGGGUGCGUAGGCGGCCUGACAAGUCUGAUGUGAAAUCCCUGGGCUCAACCCAGGGCCUGCAUCGGAAACUGUCGGGCUUGAGUAUGGGAGAGGUGAGUGGAAUUUCCGGUGUAGCGGUGAAAUGCGUAGAGAUCGGAAAGAACACCAACGGCGAAAGCACUCUGCUGGGCCGACACUGACACUGAGAGACGAAAGCUAGGGGAGCGAGUGGG